AUUGAACGCUGGCGGCAGGCCUAACGCAUGCAAGUCGAACGGUAACAGGAAACAGCUUGCUGUUUCGCUGACGAGUGGCGGACGGGUGAGUAAUGUCUGGGAAACUGCCUGAUGGAGGGGGAUAACUACUGGAAACGGUAGCUAAUACCGCAUAACGUCGCAAGACCAAAGAGGGGGACCUUCGGGCCUCUUGCCAACGGAUGUGCCCAGAUGGGAUUAGCUAGUAGGUGGGGUAACGGCUCACCUAGGCGACGAUCCCUAGCUGGUCUGAGAGGAUGACCAGCCACACUGGAACUGAGACACGGUCCAGACUCCUACGGGAGGCAGCAGUGGGGAAUAUUGCACAAUGGGCGCAAGCCUGAUGCAGCCAUGCCGCGUGUAUGAAGAAGGCCUUCGGGUUGUAAAGUACUUUCAGCGGGGAGGAAGGGAGUAAAGUUAAUACCUUUGCUCAUUGACGUUACCCGCAGAAGAAGCACCGGCUAACUCCGU
rnacentral:rRNA from 1 species